rnacentral:rRNA from 1 species
GGCGUACCAAGGUUACGAUCAGUAGGGGUUGUUAGAGGAUUAACCCCCACAGAGGUAGUGAGACAUGGACCAGACUCCUACGGGAGGCAGCAGUGAGGAAUAUUGGUCAAUGGGCGGAAGCGUGAACCAGCCAUCCCGGAAGAAGGAAGACAGCCUUACGGGUUGUAAACUUCUUCUGUGUCAGAAGAAUAAGCUGGUCGAGAUGAGUGAUGCCGGUAUGACAGGAAUAAGCAUCGGCUAACUCCGUGCCAGCAGCCGCGGUAAUACGGAGGAUGCAAGCGUUAUCCGGAUUUAUUGGGUUUAAAGGGUGCGCAGGUUGUUUGAUAAGUCAGUGGUGAAAGUCGGUUGCUUAACGGUAGGACUGCCAUUGAUACUGUUGGACUUGAAUAUGGAUGAGGUAGGAGGAAUGUGUGGUGUAGCGGUGAAAUGCAUAGAUAUUACACAGAACACCGAUUGCGAAGGCAGUUUAAUAAUCCAUCAUUGACGAUGAGGCACGAAAGCGUGGGGAUCAAACAGGAUUAGAUACCCUGGUAGUCCACGCCGUAAACGAUGAUCACUCGCUGUUUUCGAUAUACAGUAAGCGGCUAAGCGAAAGCG